AUGCAUCCCGCCUUCCGCCGCCGCCUUUUUCUUUCUCUCGGCCUCAUCUCGGCCUCCCUCCUCGCGCUUCGGGCGGGCGCGGGAGAUGCGGCGGCAAUGCAGGCGCUGCGCCGGGGGCUGGCGCCGCCGGACUGGGCGGCCGCGCCGCCGGACCACUGCGCCUGGCGCGGCGUCACGUGCUCCGGGGCCCGCGAGGUCACCGCGGUCGAGCUGCCCCGCCGGGGCCUCCACGGCGACUUCUCGGCCGCCGCCGGGCUCCCCGCGCUAGCGCGGCUCGAUCUCUCCUUCAACGCGCUCGCCGGCGCCGUCCCCGCGGCUCUCGGUGCGCUCCCUCGCCUCGAGCUGCUCGACCUCUCCAUGAACAGGCUCUCCGGCCCCAUCCCGGCCGCCCUCGGCCGCGCCGUCGGCCUCAAGUUCUUGAACCUCUCCAACAACGCGCUCUCCGGCGCCAUCCCCGACGACCUCAGGGCCCUCAAGGGGCUCCAAGAAGUGCAGAUUUCGGGCAACAACCUCACCGGCGCCAUCCCCGGCUGGCUCGCCGGCCUCCCCGGGCUGCGCGUGCUCUCCGCCUAUGAGAACGUGCUCUCGGGACCGAUCCCGCCGGGGCUCGGGCUCUCGUCCAAGCUCCAGGUGCUCAACCUCCACUCCAAUGGCCUUGAGGGGAGCAUACCCAGCAGCCUCUUCGACCUUGGUAAUCUGCAGGUUCUGAUCCUCACCGUGAAUAGGCUCAACGGCACAAUCCCGGAUUCAAUCGGCCGGUGCCUCGAUCUAUCCAACGUGCGCAUCGGCAACAAUCGCCUCGUAGGUGCCAUCCCGGCAUCCAUCGGCGACGCUACCAGCCUGACCUACUUUGAAGCCGACAGCAACCAGCUGUCUGGCAGUAUCCCCGCUCCGUUUGCACGCUGCGCCAACCUGACGCUGCUCAAUUUGGCCUACAACCGCCUUGUCGGCGAGGUGCCGGACAUGCUUGGUGAGCUGAGGAACCUGCAAGAGCUCAUUAUCUCCGGCAAUGGCCUCGGCGGCGAGUUCCCGAGGUCCAUUCUGCGGUGCCGGAACCUGAGCAAACUGGACUUGAGCUACAACGCUUUCCGCGGCGGCUUGCCAGAUGCCAUCUGCAACGGAUCAAGGAUGCAGUUUCUUGUGCUCGAUCACAACGAGUUCUCGGGCAGCAUCCCGCACGGUAUAGGUGGAUGCAGCCGGCUUCUCGAGCUGCAGCUUGCCAACAACAAUCUGAGUGGUGUGAUACCAGCUGAAAUGGGCAAGAUCAAGAGCUUACAGAUUGCGCUGAACCUCAGCUUCAAUCACCUUUCAGGGCCGCUGCCCCGAGAGCUUGGGCGGCUCGAUAAGCUCGUGGCGCUGGAUUUAUCUAGCAAUGAGAUAUCUGGCGAGAUCCCUGGUGACAUGAGAGGGAUGCUGAGCUUGAUAGUUGUCAACCUGUCAAACAACCGGCUCCGUGGCGCCAUACCGGCGUUCGGGCCAUUUCAGAAGAGUGCAGGGUCCAGUUUCUCCGGCAAUGCCAAGCUGUGCGGCGACCCGCUGGAUGUGGACUGUGGACCGAUUUAUGGAUCCAAUUAUGGAUCGGACCACAGGAAGAUAUCUUACAGGGUGGCUUUGGCAGUUGCUGGGUCCUGCGUGCUCAUCUUCUCAGUGGUAUCAUUGGUGGUAACGUUGUUCAUGUGGCGUGAGAGGCAGGAGAAGGAGGCCGAUGCAAAGAAGGCCGAAGCAGGGGAUGCGGUCGUCGUGGAAGCGCGGCAUGUCAUGGCCUCAAGCGUGUUCAUUGAGAGCUUGCAGCAGGCCAUUGAUUUCCAGACCUGUGUCCAGGCGACGUUCAAGGACGCCAGUGCAGUGAGGAGCGGCACGUUCAGCACGACCUACAAGGCUGUCAUGCCAUCAGGCAUGGUGGUGUGCGUCAAGAAGCUGAAGUCGGUGGACCGCGCCGUCGUCCACCACCAGGCCAAGAUGAUCCGGGAGCUCGAGCGCCUGGCGCACGUAAACCAUCCCAACCUUGUGCGUCCCAUUGGGUAUGUCAUCUACGAGGAUGUUGCGUUGCUGCUGCAGUAUGACUUGCCGAAUGGAACAUUGUUUCAGCUGCUGCACAAUGCAGACAACUGCGAUGGUGAGAGCCAGAAACCUGACUGGCCGAAGCUCUUGUCAAUCGCAAUUGGCGUCGCCGAAGGGCUGGCCUUCCUCCACCAGAUUGCCACCAUCCACCUCGACAUUUCCUCGGGUAAUGUCUUCCUUGACUCGCACUACAAUGCGCUUCUUGGCGAAGUUGAAAUCUCCAAGCUGCUGGACCCUUCAAAGGGCACUGCCAGCAUCAGUGCGGUUGCUGGCACAUUUGGUUAUAUACCUCCAGAGUAUGCCUACUCAAUGCAGGUUACUGUACCAGGAAAUGUGUACAGCUUCGGGGUACUGCUGCUGGAGAUCCUGACUUCCAAGAUGCCGGUGGACGAGGAGUUUGGCGAGGGUGUGGACCUUGUCAAGUGGGUGCACUCUGCGCCGGAGAGGGGGGAGACGCCGGAGCAGAUCAUGGACCCGAGGCUGAGCACCGUGUCGUUUGCGUGGCGGAGGCAGAUGCUCGCGGUGCUCAAGGUCGCCAUGCUGUGCACGGAGCGCGCCCCGGCGAAGCGGCCCAAGAUGAAGAAGGCUGUAGAGAUGCUGCAGGAGGCCAAGAACAGCUGA
rnacentral:rRNA from 1 species